UUUUAGACCGAAAACUUUCUAGCUCCAAAUGGAAAAAAGAAAAAAAAAUCCUUCUCACUUUAUAAAAAAAUGUUUCUCUCUGCCAGACUGUUAGGAAACAACUGAGCCAUCCAAGCCCUGGGGCUCUGGGGCUCCUCUGCAAUGUUCACCUUCUUAAUUGCCUCUGGACUGGCUGGCUCUCCGCGCCUCCCUGACCCUGGGCCAGACCGGGGUUCUGAUCCUGCCCCUUGUGCGGAGGACAAAAGCACGUCUGGAGCGUGGGCUACCUUCUCCAGCGCGUCUGUCCACCUAUGCCAGGUCUCUGAACAUCCAGCAAAACUGUUAUUAACCACCCAUGAAUCGGAUAAAUCCACACUUCUGGACAUCACUCGACGCAGAAGAAAUGGACAACCAAAUGAAGUACUUGAAGUUCUGCCUCUGGGGUCUUGAUCUUGUCCAAUCAAUAUAGUGUCAUCAAUGCUGUGGAUGCUGAUGUGGGCUGAAAAGUUGAUCGUGAUCUCUGCAGACUACGUUAUGGCAGAGAACAGGAGAGUUGACAUAGUACUGAGGCUACAUCAGGUAAAAGCGAAUGGCUCUGAUGGACCUUGCAAACUGGUGCAGGAAAAAAAAGCAGCAUUUCCAGAUCAAUAGCUGCACACCCAGUGUUGGAGACUCUUGAUUUGUUCCAGAAAGCAGCUGAAGUCGGAGGCCCCUGAUGAAGUGGCCAUACUGCACAGUCAUUCUCUGAGGUCCCCACAACUCCCCUAGAGGCCAAAUGGGCAAAUUAAAUGGGGAUGCAGUAGGUAUCCCUGCCCCUGAUUUUCUGUCAAGUCUUUGAUGGUAGUGCUAGUCUCGAGGUCCCAUCAGGCAUGGGGUAUUGCUUUUGGUUUACAAUCCAAAAGGACAGGGAUUUCCAGGGCCUCUCACUUAUGUUUACCAUCAUAGUUCCCAAUGGGCAAAGAUUCAGUGGGACUACUCUAGAGUACCUAACAGAAUUAUCCCACCUGAUUUAGGAAGGUACUGGUUAUGUGUCCACCCAUUCAGUCAUCGGUUGAGGGCUGUUCUCAUAUAUAGGCAGUGCUGAUUCUGGAGGCCAGAGAAAAUGAACAGGACACCUGCAGCAUCUGCUGCAAAGUUAUCUCAAAAAAUUUUUUUUAUGGAAGUAUAGUUGAUUUAGAAUGUUGUAUUAG